rnacentral:rRNA from 1 species
CGCGGCCUAUCAGCUUGUUGGUGGGGUAAUGGCCUACCAAGGCGACGACGGGUAGCCGGCCUGAGAGGGCGACCGGCCACACUGGGACUGAGACACGGCCCAGACUCCUACGGGAGGCAGCAGUGGGGAAUAUUGCACAAUGGGCGAAAGCCUGAUGCAGCGACGCCGCGUGAGGGAUGACGGCCUUCGGGUUGUAAACCUCUUUCAGCAGGGACGAAGCGUAAGUGACGGUACCUGCAGAAGAAGCGCCGGCCGACUACGUGCCAGCAGCCGCGGUAAGACGCAGGGCGCGAGCGUUGUCCGGAUUUAUUGGGCGUAAAGAGCUCGUAGGCGGCUUGUCGCGUCGACUGUGAAAACCCGCAGCUCAACUGCGGGCCUGCAGUCGAUACGGGCAGGCUAGAGUUCGGUAGGGGAGACUGGAAUUCCUGGUGUAGCGGUGGAAUGCGCAGAUAUCAGGAGGAACACCGGUGGCGAAGGCGGGUCUCUGGGCCGAUACUGACGCUGAGGAGCGAAAGCGUGGGGAGCGAACAGGAUUAGAUACCCUGGUAGUCCACGCUGUAAACGUUGGGCGCUAGGUGUGGGGGACCUCUCCGGUUCUCUGUGCCGCAGCUAACGCAUUAAGCGCCCCGCCUGGGGAGUACGG